UUCUAACAUCACUCCCAUCUUACACUCUCCUCACACACACAACGCCGCUUACAUCCCUCACAGCACUCACUCCACUCAAGUGACACACACAGGCAGAAGCGGAGAAAGAAAAGAAAGAAGGAAAGAAAGAAAGGGAGGGCGGAAAGGAAGAGAGAACCGAGGGAGAAGUGGGUCACGCGAGGAGAGGAGAGGGAGUGUGAUGUGGUGCUCAUGCCGCCGCCGUCGUGUCGCGCCAGGAGCUCAGAACCGAGGAGGAGAGAGAGGAGACGUUGGAGGAGAGGAAGACCGUCGCGUCGCCGUUCCUUCGUAGCCGCCGCAGCUGGUUCGCCGUGAAAGAAGCCCGUUGCUGUUUCGACACCGUCAUUGGAGCUGCCGUUGCGUCACUGUUGCUGGUGGAGGAGGAUGAAGUCUCGUGUACAUUUCUAGCUGCCGGGAAAGUCGACGUCGCUGCCGGAACCACCACCGGUGCUGCCGCUGCUUGGUCCAGUAAUUACUCCUUGAGUACGGUAAGCGUUUUCGCAUGAAAGCCUCUGGUAAUUUCAAGUUAUCACUCUUGUAUCCAUAUGUUUUUUUUUCAACUGGUUGAUGAAUUAUGUUUUUCUUGGAGUUAAUUAGGGUUUGAUAAAAUAACCAAAAUUCACUUUCCACUUUUUUCCUCUUUAAAAAAAUAGAAAGAAAAAUUGUGCAUAUAUCUAUACAAUUGAAUUUGGACAAUUACCUUGGGUUAGUAAAUUUAUUUGUUAGUAAGUAAUUGAUCCAACUCUCGUAUGUUAUUGGUGAAAAACACUAUAUGCGAAAUUUUAUAUAAUGCACUGUCAGGUUGUGGCUAAGACAAAUUUGGUCUUUUGUUGUCAGCAUUCUUCCAAGAUUAUACUAUCAUAUUGUGGCUAAGAUAAAUUUGGUCUUUUAUGACUGUUGAAUAUGGCUCUAUAUGGUUUAUUUAGUUUUAUCACUUAAUUUUGAAUGUCUUAAAUAUAAUUUUUUUGGUCUAGUGUAACGAGUCUAUUUAGUUUUUUAAGUAUGGUUAUAUUCAUGGAACUUUUAUAAACUCAAAAUGACUUGUAUUACUAGGUUUUGAAUUGAUGCUAGAAAUGUAAGAACUUCAAGAAACUAAUUAUUAUGUUGCUGAAUAUAUACAUAAUAAUGUUCUUUUUCAAUUCUGUAUACGUUUUAUUUUUCUUUCUUGCGAGUUCUGUGGUGCCUCUCCGGCUCUUUUAAUUAAAAAGGGAUAAUGACAAUCAUUUUUUUAUUUGUUUUAUGUUUUAUUCAAAUCUUUUUCUCUUUUUUAUUGCAAUAGUGUAUCAAGAAGUUUUAAUUGGAGCAUGCACAAACGUGAAUAUCUAAUAUUUUAAUUCUGUCUUAGUUUUUGUUGUUAUUCAAGAGUUGGGUAAUCUCUAUUACUAGUGGAAGGCCAUACUUACUAGUCCAAGGCCAUACUUACUAGUCCAUCAUGGGUACCCGUUCUCCAGUUUGUUGUAAUGUAUCUUUCCUUCCUUUCCCAUUUUAAUUUCAAGUUUCUCUUGCCAUUGGUUAUUGCUGUAAUUUAUCUCUCCAGAUCAUUGAAGUAUAUCAGCAACUAUGUGAUGCAUCAAACACUGUCCAUUUACUAUUAAUCUAUUACCUUAUGAAGUCUUCUUUGGCUCCUAGGUAAACUCAUUUUGUGCUAGUUAAGCUCCAUAUGGCUUUCGAUCCGUAGCUUAUCCUGUGUUGGUGUGUAAGAUUGCACAUUAUUAUAUGCUCAAAAUCAUGGAUGUCUUCAUAAAAGCUGCUGAAUAUAUGAAAAUUCCAGUUCGAGGGACUGAUGACGAACCUCUUCAAAAGCUCUUUAUGUUAGUGAGGAGUAAGUUGAACCUUGACCUCAAGAACAUUAAGGAGUGCUGAAAUGGUGACUAUAUGCUACCUUGAGGGCUCAAAAAUGUUUUAAUGCAUAGAGACACUAAUCUAUGUUAGAACUUUUAUGUUUUGGUUGAACUUUCAUGUUAGAACUUUUAUGUUUUGGUUGAACUAAUUAAUGUACUCACUAGCUAAUGUUAUUUUGUUUCAAGACAAUUUUAGC